CCCUUAGAUGUUCUGGGCCGCACGCGCGCUACACUGAUGCAUGCAACAAGUCUUUUCCUUGGCCGAGAGGCCUGGGCAAUCUUUGAAUAUGCAUCGUGAUGGGGAUAGACGAUUGCAAUUAUUCGUCUUCAACGAGGAAUUCCUAGUAAACGCAAGUCAUCAGCUUGCAUUGAUUACGUCCCUGCCCUUUGUACACACCGCCCGUCGCACCUACCGAUUGAAUGGUCCGGUGAAGCCUCCGGAUUGGCGCGCACCUCGGUGCCGCCGAGAAGUUGGCUAAACCUUACCAUUUAGAGGAAGGUGAANUCGUANCA
rnacentral:rRNA from 1 species